rnacentral:rRNA from 1 species
AAAGAAAAUAACAAUGAUUCCCCUAGUAACUGCGAGUGAAGAGGGACAAGCUCAAAUUUUAAAUCUGUUAGGUUUACCUAACCGAGUUGUAAUUUGAAGAGGCGUUUUCUGUGUUUCUGACCAGCCCAAGUCCUUUGGGAUAGGGCAUCAUGGAGGGUGAGAAUCCCGUUCGGUUGAUCAGAUUCGCUUUACGAUACGUCAUCUAAGAGUCAAGUUGUUUGGGAUUGCAGCUUAAAAUGGGAGGUAAAUUUCUCCUAAGGCUAAAUAACGGCGAGAGACCGAUAGCGAACAAGUACCGUGAGGGAAAGAUGAAAAGAACUUUGAAAAGAGAGUUAAAUAGCACGUGAAAUUGUUGAAAGGGAAACGAUUGAAGCCAGUCGUACCUGCGGACAAUCAGCCUUUCGGGUGCGGUUAUGUGGAGCGUGAGGAGUUAAACGCCUUCAUGCCCGCGUAUUUGUACUCUGGGGUGUACUUGGACGUGCGGUAGGUUAACAUCAAUUUCGGAUGUCAUAAAAUGGCUGGAGGAAUGUAGCUUCGGUCUCGUACUGAAGUGUUAUAGCCUUUGGUAGAUGUGAUGACCGGGAUUGAGGAUUGCAACGAAUACCUUUUGGGUUAUCCGCCAGAUCUCUGAAAGUUGCUCUGGUGCCGAAAGCUUGCUUACGGUUAUCAAAGUUGACGUUCAAAAGGUUAGAACGGGUUAAAUUCGUUAAGGAUGUUG